rnacentral:lncRNA from 1 species
CAAAUGACCAAACAAAAAAAAAACCCACAUUCUACUGUUACUGCACACAGAUAAUUUACAUAUAAUGAAAUCACACAUGAAUUAACUGUUGACCACAGUUACAAUUUAUAGGGUUUUCAGAAUGAAUGUCCAUGCUACUUAUUUGUAUAUCAUUUACCAAAUUCUUAGAUGACAACUUACUACUAGAUACGGACCCAUAUAGCAUCUCUAUACAAUGUCUCAACUUGGACUUCAGAAUACCCUCAAACAGUUUUCAGAUCUAUAGAAGACAAUGA